UUUUUUUUAGUUUUUUGCAAACAUUUUAAAAUAAUAAGUUUCGGUUAUGAAGACGAUGAUGUUAGAUAUAUUGCUUAAAUAUAUGUGAGGUGAAGGUUAUCAUACCAUGGCUCUAGGAAUCGAGAUGCACCUCCGAAAGACUGAGCCGGCAUAUCAUGAUUUACGAAGUCAUCGUAGACACCUCGUCGUUGACGGAAAGAUACUAUAGUCCGUCUAUCCAUCCAACCACAUGUUGGUUCGCGACAACAACGAUGGCUAGGCUGGUUUGGAUUGCACAUUUUGCUUACGUCGUUGCUGGUUGCUGAAUAAUUUGCUCAAGUCAAGGACACGCCCGUACGCUUGGGUGACCGAAGACCGCACGCACCACGCAGCAGAGGCAGCCAGCCCCUCCGCCUGCCGGCAGAUUUUGCGUCGUCAGGCAUGCGUGCUGCCUGAAAAUGCCGAUGCGAUCAUAGUGGUUCGGAUGAGGUUGGGUUCCCAACGUUUGACCUGAAUUCAGCAACGAGGACUCUCUCACGUCUCGUCCUGAUUCAAGCUCUCCGGGAAACUCUCGAUGGACACACACAACGCAAGCAUUAAUUACUCCCUCCGUUUCAUAAUAUGAGAGCAUUUUUUAUAUUAGUACUCAACUGAUGUACUUCCUCCGUAAAGUACAGUAAUGUCUAAACGUUCUUAUAUUGGAUUCUAGCGCAGAAAACUUUGCCAAAAAAAAGAGGUCCAGAACCGUGCAAUGAUAUCAGGCAACACACGUACGUAGCAGUUUGCACUUAUCGUGCAUGGAUUCCCGCCGUUCAUCGCAAGAACUAGAUCGGCAACGCGCUUUGGCGCGAGGGUGCCAGUCCCAACGAUCUAGCCAAACAAAUAAUACUCAAUUUAGUAGGAAGCCAGGUUUAGCGUAUGUAUUCAAACAUGAUAACCAAAAGAAAAGAACAUUCAAGACAUCAUCAAUGGAUACAGAACGAUAGUAACAACAGAUCUCCAUAGCGACCAGAACGAUAGUAAACACAUUUAAAGAAUGUAAAUGUUCAUACAUGGUAAAAUAAAGGAUGCAAUAUUUGUACAAGGUAGAUAUUGAGAACAAAAGGAUGGAUAGACAUGCCAAAGAGGCCGUGUUCACAAAAAAAAAGGCAGAUCACACGGUAGUUUACAUGGUACAUCACAAGAGCUGGUGGGAUCAUGUAUCAUCGGGUACUUGCCAGAGUUAGAAUAGGUGGUCGGUGACGUCCAUCGAUGAUCAAAGCCAUGGACUUGUGUGAAGAAAGCAAUUGGUGCAAACACCUCAAGCUCUUGCUCCAGAUAAGCCAAAUGAUUAGUUAGGUAUAUAAUAUAUUUGGAAACAGUAUGUGCCAGGCCUGAAUAAGAAUAACACGAUAAAUAAAAAAUCAACAGUGGCACAAGCUAAUCUGUGAGUCGGUUAUAUUUAGAUGUUUAAUAGAUUUAUUAGGUGAGUAUUCGUACUAAAUAAAAAUCAAUGCCACAACUAAAUCAUUCAAUAGAUCUGGAGUAUGCUCUCUGAAGAGGGUGUUCUAAUGGGCCAUGAGACUUUCACAACAAUAGAACUGCAACUACUACUGAAAACCGAGAGUAUUUCUAUACACGGCCCAAAGAAUAGUAAGAUUUACUCACAAGAACCCUAGAUCGACACUACAAAAGUACAUAAUUUAUAAGUGACUGACAGCUCACGUUUACCUUGUUCAUUGAUGGCAGUGUGGAGUGAAUUUUCCCUGUUCCUGUCGCCGGCGUAGCGUAGAAGAGCUCCCUCAGUGCGCUCUUGGUCCAGUACAACUGAGACAAUAAGUUCAGAAAGGCAGUUCUAUAGACCAAGAUUAGGAAUACAUUCCACAGGUCAAAAUACCAUUUAUAAUACACAUUAGGAAAGAAGGACCAUACAUAAUGAUAACAAGGCCUUUAUACAAAGACCAACGAUAACCAGGUAGCAGUAUACAUAGGUAAGUGUGCAAUGCCCCAUUGCUCCUCAUGGCAAACAAACACAGAAAGCUUACUGGCAUGACUCGUUAACAAUAAAAUAAUCGAGAAUUCUCCUUGAACUUUUCACGAAGAACUAAUAGCAUCGCCAAACCAUCGUUUAUCCCCUAAUAUAUACUGGACAAAUCCUAAACACAAGCCAAUUGUUAUAACCAAUGAAUAGGAAAUGUUGGAUACUACUGAGUUGUUAUUGUUGGUUAGUAUGAGCAGGUUGAGCAUAGCCAUCAUUUUUAAAAGCCUGGAGAAUUAGACAUCACCGGUAACCAAAACCAAUAGAAUAUUACACUUUAUAUAGAGUAACUGAAAGAUAAAUGAGCUUCUCCAAACGCAUUUUGCUACACAAGCAUCUUAAAAGUUUUGAUUUAGCUACUGACAUGGCACCGGGCUAGUUAUGUAGGAGAGAUACACGAUGGCCAGGAGAGAAUUUGGAGAAGCACAGAACAAAAACUGCAACACAAGUUCUGUCUAAUGAGUACAGACAGAUGCGAGCCACUGAAACAUGAUGGUGACAUCUCACCUUUAUAACAACACUAAUCCUCAUAUAGUCCCCAUCCAGAAGCAGAGCAUGUUGAAAUACAGCAAACUUAGUAAGGGAAGGAUGACAGACAUAGAUAGGUACCCAUGAAUUGAACCAAAAGUUGCAAAAGCCAUCCGGUUGGUCAUUUUUUAAACCAUGUCAACCCAGAUGUACACUCCGUAGGAGUGAUUUAACUACUUACCACAACAGUUUCAUGUUAGAACAGCCAUCCAAAACAUAUUAUGCAGAGUAUAUUGACAGAAGCAAAAUAUACUGACAAUUAGAGGCAUAGCCUCUUACAGAAAUGUAGGGAAAGGCUGCGUACAAUAGACCCAAAGCGGUCGGGCCCUUCUCCGGACCCCGCGCAAGCGUGAGCUACAUGCACCCGGUUGCCUCCCUUUUUUUUAAUCAGAGGCAUGGACAUAAAAAAAUAUACCGAUAGAAGCAAAAUAUACCGACGGCUAUAUUUGUCAUGCAAGGCUUCUGAGAUUGUGAUAUGCCUAUUAAAAGGAAACAUCAGGGCACAAAGAGAAAAACCAGCCUGAUUUACCACUAACAAUACAAGAUUGCACCUGCAGUCUGUAGAAAUAGAGCAUUCGCGCCUCAGAAGAUCUUCACAUAAAUCCAGGUGAUCCUUCAGCUCGGCAACUGGAACAGAAGCACACUUCGAACCAAGCUUGUUGCAAACAGAGUCUGGCUAUAUAUCUAUAAGAAUAGUUGAAUACAACAUCAGUAGCUUGAACAAAUACCGUUUAAGCAGUGCAUCAGUAUGUUAUCAGUCCAUAAACACACAGGAAAAUUUAGUCUAGUCAUAUAAUCCAAAGAUUCAGAUUUUCUUUACUCUCAUUAUCUUCAUGCUUUUGUAACCCAUACCAACAAACUGAAAGAAAACCAAAGCCUACAAGAAAAAAUGAAAUAGAAAAAGGCAGCAGUGUAGGGAUGCACUACAAGAACAAAUUACAGAUUCGAUUCAAACAAUGGGUACAGUCCAAAAUGUUAUAUAUGUAUUUUGUUAUAUAUAUCUUUCGAGUAUAAAGGAAAAAAAGAAUACCGACACGGGUAAGAAGAAUAAACAACAAACAUCCUGUGGUGAUGAAGAAAUAACUACAGAUCGGGAGCGCGCCUUGGUAUAUGAGCAUCCAAUAACUAAAUAUGGAGCUCGGGAACGACCCUCGACAUCUCAAUAUUAAAUUCUAGCGUAGAGAAUGUCUGCCAAAAAAAGAGAGGUGACUGUGGUGACUGUGGUGCACUGAACUCCCAUAGCACAUUUUUAAUUUCAGAGAAAAAACUGAAAAAAAAUUCGAUUAGCACAUUCACACAACAUCAAUGUACGUUGUCCAAGAAUUUCAAGUCCAAAUUUGAAACAUAGCUAGAAACCAAAAAUGACAAAUUCACCAUUGAAUAGUACAUGAAAUAAGUUGGUCUUUAGAUUUGGUCCAUUAUUGCAAGGAUGUCAAAUUUGUCAUUUUUGUAUCUCAAGCAAUGCUAUGCAAAUUUGUGAUGCAUUGAUGUUGUGUCGUUGCUAGUUUUUUUUAGAUUUUUGCAAACAUUUUAAAAUAAUAAGUUUUGGUUAUGAAGACGGUGAUGUUAGAUAUAUUGCUUAAAUAUAUGUGGGUGAAGGUUAUCAUACCAUGGCUCUAGGAAUCGAGAUGCCUGACAAGACAACGAUGGCUAGGCUGGUUUGGAUUGCACAUUUUGCUUUUACGUCGUUGCUGGUUGCUGAACAGUUUGCUCAAGUCAAGGACACGCCCGUACGCUUGGGUGACCGAAGACCGCAUGCACCACGCAGCAGAGGCAGCCAGCCCCUCCGCCUGCCGGCAGAUUUUACGUCGUCAGGCAUGUGCUGCCUGAACAUGCCGAUGCGAUCAUAGUUGUUCGGAUGAGGUUGGGUUCCCAACGUUUGACCUGAAUUCAGCAACGAGGACUCUCUCGCGUCUCGUCCUGAUUCAAGCUCUCCGGGAAACUCUCGAUGGACACACACAACGCAAGCACUGCCAAAUUAACCCUAAAAAAAAGUACUCCACUGAUGUACUCCCUCAAUAAAGUACAGUAAUGUCUAAAUGCUUUUUUAUUUUUUUACAGAGAGAUUAGUGACGAAUAUUGAAUUCUAGCGCAGAAAAUGUCUGCCAAAAAAAGAGAGGUCCAGAAGUGUGCAAUGAUAUCAGGCAACACACGUACGUACGUAGCAGUUUGCACUGAUCGUGCAUGGAUUCCCGCCCGUUCAUCACAAGAAUGGGUCUCAAAGAUGUCAGGAAAGAAACAGAGUCGACAAUGCUACGACCGAUGGAUCAUGGAUGUGACCAGUUCAAAAGGACGCACGGUGACGUUUGAACAAUUAUUGAAACCCAGUGUGCUAUCGAGUAAGCAAUACUGCGUACGUUAAUCAUAAUCACAUUAUUCUGGCAGAAAUCAAAUUGUCUGUUUGGGCUUAUUGCCUUGUGCCAUGUCGUCAUGCUUGGAGCUACGGACUCAAACCCUCCGGGGAUCCAGCACCACCGCUUCUCUAUGAAAUACCGCUAGCUGCAGCACCGGAAGAACAUCGUGAGAGCUAUUCCUUGCUUAAUGCGAGCUCUAAGAUAGGCUCGUCUCUGGCGCGGGUCGUGUGUCGGCCCAGUACUGUAGCAUUGGUUUUCUCCGUUUCCAAUUUUGCAUUGGUUUUCUUAUUUCUUUUUUUCUUUGCUUUUUCCUUCUCUACGGUUUCUGUCUUGGUUUUCUUUGUUUUUUGUGUGUAUUUUUUCUGUCUUUUUUCAACACAUCUCUACCUUUUUCAAAAAAUGUUUGCAUUGUGUAAACAUUAUUUUUAAAAUAUCACGAACAAUAUUUUGAAAUGCAUGAACUAUUUUGAAAAUAUCAUGAAUAUAUUUUAAUGCCACCAAUAUUUCUUAAAAGUUGCACAACCAUUUUUGCAACACCCCAUGAACUAGAUGGGAACCUUCUCUUCAAAAAAGAGGGAUGGGGACUAUAAUGGGCGAUGGCCUAGUCCUCAAAAAAAAGAGAAAUGCUAUCAACUUUUGCGUCCACUCCAUCCCAAAGAACACACCUAUACCAAGCAAAGCCUCGUGGGGACCAUAAUGGGCAGUGGCCCGGUCUUCCCAUGCAGAAACAUACUCCCUCCGUUCCUAAAUAUUUGUCUUUUUAGAGAUUUCAAAUGUACUACCACAUACGGAUGUAUAUAGACAUAUUUUAGAGUGUAGAUUCGCCCAUUUUGCUUCGCAUGUAGUCACUUGUUGAACUCUCUAGAGAGACAAAUAUUUAGGAACGGAGGGAGUAGUUAUUUGGCCCAUGAAUUCUUUGGAGCCCUUUUGUUUGUAGGAAUAUAUACUCCAUGUUUGUAAAGUUUCAUGAUGAAAUAUGUUUUGACGUGCUAAAAAUCAUGAAUUUCAUGAAUUUUUUUAUGUAGCUCACAUCAAAACAUAUUUCAUCAGGAAAAUUUAGAGACAUCAAGUAUACAUCCUUUGAUCCUUAUGUAAAUGUGUGAUUUUUUAAACUUAAAAAGCUGGUUUUUGAUUUUUGCAAAUCCAAAAUCUCAGAUUCGGGGCUCUAUAUUGCAGGUGGCACUCAGAACUAGGUAUCCAAAAAUCACCACAGUGGAAUGUUUGUUAACUCGGGUGUAACUCUUUUCUGAAUCGGAUGUAUAUAGUGUGUUUGUUCAGUCUGUAUGUAGUUUAUAUUGAAAUAUCUUUGUUAUAUUUGUGAACAGAUCGAGUACAAGAAAGCAUCAUGGGCUGUAAUGCCUAUGGAAACAGGGUAAAAGGGACCGGAAAAUUUAACCGAUUAAAGAAACAUGAACCAACAGGUGUACCAAAUAAUGCCGGGCCAAUGAUUCGAUGACACCAGCAAUACAACAGUAUACAAGUAUUCCACUAACAUCCAACGAUGAAAAGAAUAUGAGGAAGGCACCACGCUUUGUCACGACAACAGCAAGAAUUGAGGUUUCAACACAAACUGUAUAGCAGAAAAUGAUGUGAUCACAGUAAUCAUUACAAAACAUGUUAUAUGACAACUGCCGCAUCAUGCCACGAUCUUGCAUUAUUAGCUGUCUGACAACCGCCAAGUUCCAGCUAACCACAUUAUAUUACCCUAUAAAUACUGUAUUUCAGUGAAGACACAAAUUUGCUACUAGAGCAAACCUGAAAAAAGAAGAAGAAAAACGACACAGCCUUCUCAUGCGAAGUCGCAUCUGAAGUAAGGAGAAAAAGAACAGGUUGCCCUUCCUUGUCUUCACAAGUUGCAGAGCCUCUUCCAAGUUCCAACAUUCAGUAUCUGUCUUCUUCACGUAUUUUUCGGGCCAAACAAUGCCACUCCUUUUAGUAACCGGAGCUACAAAAAACGCUUGUGGAGAACAUUGUAUUCGGCCUUAUUUACGCCUGAGAGAGAUACAACUGCCAGGAAUAGCUUAUUGAUCAGAAACCGCUUGCGCGUUAGUAACAAACACUUUUGAGCCAAUUAACCCAAAUUGCGUUUUUAAGUAUAUAGUUGCUGCUUUUUAGACUGUUAGAAGUGCUAUCAGUGCUGAGAGAGGUUCAAGUCGAUUCCAAUGUUCAUCCCGUUGUACGCAAUUGGCGCAUACAUCCACAUUUCAUCGGAGCUGAGGAGCUGCACAUGGUAGUAAAUAAACCAUUAAGUAACUCUGAAGUCUUAACACAUGCAUUCGAAAUGGAUGAAGUUCUGAACAGAACUGUGGAAAAGUCUCACCUUGAUUUGAAGCUGCAAGAACUUCACAUACUCCACUGCCUCUUCAAGCAUAGUGCUGAUAUCUACCUGCAAGAUAGCACAAGUGUUGAUCUUUGAGUUGUUGCCCUUCAUUUUACAGUAAUUUCCCCCAAAAAACUAUGAAGGACAUGUUGCUGAGAUGCUUACUUUGGUUCCAUUCGGAACAAGGUUCUGUAGUACCUUCAGCCUCUCAUUGAUCUUUUCUCUUCUUUUCUGUAUCCAACCAACAAGAGCAUGAGUAACUGUUAAUUUUAAUUAACAGUAAAACAUUCCUCAGCAGAAAACUGAGAGGAUGAUGUGUAGCAUACCCUUGCAUAGAGGCUCUGGGGAUCGGUUGUCUGGCGGCCAGCCUGAGCCUUGCCCUUCGGCUUAGAGGCAACAGGAGGCUCUUGAAAAGCAUUAGAGUCAAUUUCAGACGUGCAGCAGCUCAAGCUUUGCUUGCUUGUGUCAGCAGUGGUGCCAUCGUCGCCUUCACAUUGCAUGGCCUUCUUUGUCCGCUUCGAGUCCGCCUUCCUUGAGUAUUUCCGACCCUGCAUUUCAAAAAGAUUCAAGCAGUAAGCAUUCACACCGGGCAACUAAAACGACCCUUGUACAAAAAAGAACAAAGCAUUGAACACUCACACUUGUUUGGUCAGCUAUUUUCCCUUGAUCCUGGUGCUUUCUCUUGUUGGACGUGUCAAUGGAGUCAAGCAAGUUCAUGCUCGAGUCUCCAAGAUUGUCGCAGCUUGAAUCGCCAUUCCCAUAUGAAGGGUUGAAGAUGGCAUCCAUAAACUGAGCCGCACCUUGCUCAUGAACCAUGUUCAGGUCAAGUGCGGCGGUGCAGGAGCCGAUCCCAUUUGAGUCGCCCAAAUAAAAGCCCCCAUAAUCCGACGGCACAUCAAGGAUGAGACUACCAACACUGUUGCUACUAGCGGAACUGUAUGCAUUAGAGCUACCGUUACAGUGGGCAUAGUAUGCAUGUGUGGCCUGAACAGACCAAGGUAGCUCCUGGUGUUCUUCCUCGCCGUUGGAGGGGAAGGUGCCAAGCAGCUGCUCCAUCAUCUCCGACUCCUCAGCCUGCGACGUCAGGCCAAGCGAGUCCCAGCCCGCUUCAGCAAUCACUCCUCCAGACUCCAUCCUGAUAUAAGUGUAGGGUGUGAGAGAGGACUUGGCUGUUUGAUACACUUGUGCUUCCUGAAGCAAAAAUGCAGGUUAGGACAGGUGCAUUUAUACUGAUGAGAAUGCUGAAGGAAAACAGAGCAGCUGCAGGAUUAAGAAAUGCAGGAUCAUGCCUAGAGAAAUGGACACCCACGGCUGGGUAUGACCUGUGCUGACAACGACCCUUCCAAGUAUGGCCUGGGGAUGGGCAAAUAAUGAGUUUAGAAAACUUCAACUGCUAGUUGGUACACAACAAGAUAGUGAAUUAUCCAAGAUCACACAUCUUCAGAAGUCAAGCCAAUCAGAGCUCGAGUGGCAAGUGUCUCAAGGCCGGUUUCAAUGAUUGCAGAGAAUUCUCCCGCAGCAUCGAUGCACCAACAGGACAAGGAAAAAAAACAUGCCUCUGAGGCUCAAAUCAAAGCCAGGACAAACAUGGGCUUAUCUUAGCAAUUAAUACAGGAUCAGGCAUUAUGAUUGUGGAGAAUGUUGUUGGAAUGGAAUAAUCCACUCCCAAUAAACUAGAGAGCUGCAAGGAGAGGCUUGCACGACCAUGAUGGAGGGAAUCUGGACAUUCUUAAAUGCUUAAGAGGGAUUGGACAAUGCCUCCAGUCCUCCGUGUACCCCGAUUGCUUGCCAUCUUAUACUCAAAAUGUACAGCUUUCCAUCACCUACUUCAACAGCAUCUGCCCGCAACCUUCGUGUCUGUUUCAUGCUUAUGAUACUACAUCAUCAAAUUGAAACAAAGCCACUGAUACACAAAAAUUGCACCAAUCAUUUACCUUCCGUGAAGGUGUGUAUAGAAGAAAGAAGCUCCGAGCACCCAAACAGUGCAAUAUAGAUCUAUACAAACUGAGGACUGAGAAAACCUGUACAUAGUUAUAACUAUCAUCAGUAUAAUAUGACAUUUGUCUGGUGGUCAACCAAGUGACAGUUUCAGCCAAGAUUACCAUAUCACAGAUUCACAUGUGGGCACUUCCAAUCUUCUUUUCAGAUUAUGGCAUAUCUUCAAAAUCAGAGAGCAUGUGAAAUCCAAAUGACUCUGCACAACAUCGGUCUUCAAUGACCCGACAAAUCUGAGUCAUUGGGUGAUCUGAUGCCGAUAUCCUCAUCAAUUGGAACUGAUUUCCGUAUAUUCAGGGAAUUAGGGGCUGCACAUGACUCGAAUCUACCGGUCGUGCAAGGAAUGAGCUGUACUUUUGCACUGCCCCUUCGCCACCAAAAAAGGACCUAUUCUUCUUGCCUCUUUGUUCCACACAGAGGAUCAAGGAGGGAAUAAACAAUGAUAUCUAAGAUGCUGGCAAAGGGAAAUGAAUUGGAAGGAGCAAGAUAAUGUGCUUUGUUUAUAGACCUGUUUGUUGUUGCCCUUUUAGCUGCAUGAAAGAAUCAGGAACUUCCAAACAUUCUGCAGCCAAAUUGCAGAAUGAUUUGUGAAAUACCUACAUAGUAAUCUUCUGUCUCUGAUAGGCAUAGAAAUGAAGAAUAUGGGGUCUUAGAACAUACCAAAAAUACAAAGGAACUUUCCGACUUCUAGAAGGUCCAAUUGCAUCGUGAGGAAGCGAAAUUACAAAAUUGUUUCCUUUGAACCCAUUCAAAUCUGAAGGGACAAACAUAAAAUUCUCCUUAGCCCACAUAUCAAGCAUAGGACUACCACUAAUAAAAUAUGUAUGGAGAAAUAACAUUGUUGUCGUCUUAUUAAUAUUAAAUAACACUAAUAAAGCUACUUAUGUAUUGAGCUUCAGUAAGAAUACUGCUCAUCUGCACAAACAUUACUAUCCCCUUCUUGGUUCUACUCCCUCCGUUCGGAAUUACUUGUCGCAGAAAUUGAUGUAUCUAGACGUAUUUUAGUUCUAGAUACAUCCAUUUUCGCGACAAGUAAUUCCGAACGGAGGGAGUACAUAUCAAGGACGAAUUUCAUGUUUUUUUUUGCCAUGUUAACUUGGAUAAUUUUAUGUGCACUAUAAUAAUGGAAUUUUUUUUGGAACACCGUAUCAUGGAAAUUUAUGGAUGGCAGCUUCACUUGGCACGAAAUCCUGAUUCUUUGCUCAAAUGUUUACACAACAUAUUUUUCAUUGUGACUUUCAGUUUAUACUUGUACAAUGGUGUCACUUUCAACUGAGAAAAAAGGAUAAUGGCAAGUCGAACCAAAUGAUGGAAUAUUACUGAUUGCUUGCAUACAGAUGUCAAUAUGAUAAAUACCCAGGAAUACAAAUCUCCGAUACAAUAUAUUUCAUAAGUAUUCAAUCAAUGGUUCUCAUUGUGAACAACUUGCUAAUUAACUAGUCAAACAAUAACAUGUAUUCCCUCUGUUCCGAAUUAUAAGACGUUUUGGAUAUUUCAAUAUGCACUACAUACGGACGGAAAUGAGUGAACAAACACACUAAAACGCGUCUAUAUACAUCUGAUUCAGAAAAAAGUGAGAACAUCUUAUAAUUCGGAACGGAGGGAGUAUCACCUCUGUUCCAAAUUAUAAGACAUUUUGGAUAUUUCAAUAUGGACUACAUACAGACUGAAAUGAGUGAACAAACACAUUAAAAUGCGUCUGUAUACAUCUGAUUCAGAAAAAAGUUAGAACAUCUUAUAAUUUGGAACGGAGGGAGUAUCACCUCUGUUCCAAAUUAGAAGACGUUUUGGAUAUUUCAAUAUGGACUACAUGCAGACUGAAAUGAGUGAACAAACACACUAAAACGCGUCUAUAUACAUCUGAUUCAGAAAAAAGUUAGAACAUCUUAUAAUUCAGAAUGGAGGGAGUAAGAUUUAUACAUGGAAAGUUUUUACUUAUAAAUACUAAUUUACUGAACUGUAUAUACAUUUACGUAAACAAGUAAUGGUGAAGAAAAGUAUAUUGAACACGUGAAAUAGCAUCCAAAACAAAGACCUUACCUGCAAAGUCGGUGCUACAAAAAAAGUUUGCUGCAGCCAUGCUACAGAAAAGUUAACUAGCUAGUACAGUAACAUAACUAAGAUGAAACUGAGGUGAAAGGAAAAGGUAAGAGGAACAUGCAUACUACCCUGAGUCAUAAAAGUUCCAGUAGGUUCUCGUGCUGCAGCAAGCAUUUGAAACCUAUCUAUCGCCCUUAGAUAAUAUGAAUAUUCUCAAUAAAUAUACACUAAAAUAACUGCCAUAAAACAUUCUUUACCUAUUCAAGCUCAAGUGGGGAAAAUACAUUUUGAUAUUUCCACAGCUAUGAUAUUAUCAUGAAAAUAAAGCAACAGAAAAACAUGAAGGCUGGUUUCAUUUUAUCUUGUAGGUAUAUCAAAUAAGUGUGAAAUGCAGACUAUAAAGACUUACAAUGAUCUUGGCUAACCCAAAGCCCAUCUGCAUUUUACCAUUCCCUAAAAUACUCCUAAACAAGUUGAUUAAAAUUUUAAAACAGAAGAACAUGUAUCAUACUUCCAUAUUUCAUAUGCAUUGUGAAUGCAAAAAACUGAGAAGUCAAACAAAACAAAAAUACAUUAAUAAACCAGAGAACGAACCAGAAGUCAGAGAAUAUGCAUAAAGACCUGAAGCCUGAAGGUCAAAGGUUAAUAAAGUAGUGCAGAAGUGUUUCCAAGCCUACAACCAUUUCAAGUCAAACAGAACAUAGCAUCUUCGAUUAGCACAACCAAAAAAGAAAGCAUCAACAAUUAAUUUUUAACUCAAAAUUUUGCUAGGAGGGCCUAGAUACAUCUCCUAACAAGACCCAGUAGCAAGAAAAUUUAAGAAUAAGUGGUACUGAAGAACUGAAGAGUUAAGAGCCCUUGAAGAACAAUACUCAAAAUGACAACUUAAUAUUCCUAUUUCACCAUUAGGCUAACCCACCUUAAUGCAAUGAACAACUUGGACUUAUCAUUGCAGCCUCCCUCAUAGUCAUAUAUUUACCAAUUGAUAUUUUGUAAAGAUCGAUAUAUGUACCUAUAUCUUUGACAAGUUUGUACAGUCGCAUCAAAUUAUUAUGUUUUUCUUAGAUUUUGCAACAUUAACAUCAGAUUGACCAGUAAAAAAGGACAGACCCAGUGCAUAGAAGCUCCCACACAAGGUGGGGUCUGGGGAGGGAUUAUAGGAACCUAGUCUUACCCCUGCAAAGUGCAAUGCAGAGAGGCUGGUUCGAACCCAGGACCUCUUGGCACAAGUGGGGAGGACUUCACCACUGCGCCAGGCCUGCCCUCAGAUUGACCAGUAAAAAAAUGACAAAAUUAUAAUAUUUGGAGCUAUAUUUUUUUUAUCAUCACUCCAGAAAAUGAAGAAAGUAAUUAAAACUUCUGGUUGAAGAACUACUGAAACCUGACCAUACAUUUCUAAAACCAAUUUAGAAGUUCAGAGUUCAUGACAGGCUUGCAGCCCCUAACAUAUUACAUAUGUCAAAAUAACAAAGAUCUAUUGUGUGGAUAGCACCCAACAGCAUAACGAAAGAAUCACCCAGACAUAGAAGAACAAUGGGAAAUAAAAAUAAUAAUCUCUGGGCUCCUCUUUCGAUGCAUCUACACACAUUUAUCAUGUAAAUAUUAAAUCAAAUGAACACAAGCAAUUCUCAAAUAGGCUCCUCUUGAGUCACUACUGCAUACGGUACGGGCCACACAAAGUCAACCUUAUAGCAAGCCCAUUUACAUCAACAGAACUAACUGCUGGAGCUUUACCAUGGCAUUCCAAACAACAGAUGGUAACUAAUUAAAUAGAUUCAAAGUUAACUCAGAAAUAAAUCAUGGUAUUUUGAUAGGCUAGAAAGGACAGAAACACAAUUGACCAGUCAGUAGCAUUAUUGUGGUAAAGUUUAGGAUCUGGUCACAUUACACAAGAUAAAAUUUGACAAAGAACUUGAAAACUAAUUUAUCCUUUAAUAUUUAAAAGUAACACACUUCUAACUAUAUCCAAUGCUGACAGCAAUGGUUGAUGUCUCUGAAUCGGGUUUUACACUGCUUUAUUGAUCUCAUGACAACAAUCCACUAUAGGAUAUAAUAGCCUUCGGACUUUCAUUACACCAAGCCACUCAGUUCACUCUCUUAUUCAACUGCUAAUUGUUGCACAUCUCUAAAUACUACACCAGCACAAACCAAGUUUUGCUGUUGAGCGAGUUUGGUUACACUCCGACAUUCAGCUCUUUGCUUCUCAACGGAAAACAGAGAUGGGUGCUUAACUCCAAAGCAUCAUCAAGAAAGAGCACAACAAAGGCACAACAUAUCAAGGAAAUAGGGGCUGAUAUUGCAGCCCCAUAUUCUCAGGCAGUCCCAUCAUCAGAUUGAGGUUCUGCACGGCCUGGCCAGAUGCUCCUUUCACAAGAUUGUCUAUCUGCAGUGUUGAAGAACAAGAAAAAUAAGGAUUUUGCAUCUUUAAGUCUGCAACAUUUCGCUAACUUUGAGCAACUUAUAGAUUGAUGCAACACUUACGACAGAGAUGAUGAUGGCCCUUCCAGGAAUUCUGUCCUCGAAGACAUUCAUGAAACAGUAAUUUGAUCCAACAACAUGGCGUGUGUGAGGAACAUUGCUGCCAUUUAACAGCUUGACAAAUUCUUCACCCUGAAAAGAUGCACACGCAGAAUGAUGCUAACAAAAGAAAAAGCAUUUAUGUGGUAAAACUGUAAAAUAGGAGAGCUCUCUGCAGAUAGAUAAUUUAAUCCACAUGGUCAAACAAACAAACCUCAUAAGUAGACUUGAGAUGCUGAUACAAAUCACUGACAGUCACUCCAGGUGCCAUUUCAACAAACAUAGUAGAUUGCAUCCCACGUUUCUGUUCAUCAUACAGAUAAAUGAUUUGAUUUAACAACUGAACUCCACACAUUUCUUAUGCCUUUAGUGCAGGUGCAGCACAGAACAAACUGCAGAACCUGGAGUUGUCUUUGAGUAUGUGCUUACCAUGCAGAUAAGAUUUGGAGUGAAGCUGAUAGUAACUUUGGAUUCUGCAGCCUCUGACAAUCCUUGUUCAACCUCAGGAACUGAAAUGGUUUUAUCUCAUUGUCAGUAAGGCCAUACUAAAGCCACUUUACCAAAGGAGAACAAAUGUCAGACUUGAGAUGUUUGGAAAAAAGGGUUACCAUGACGGUGGCCUUUUAUUCCAUAAGCAUGAAUGCCUUCAGCUAUCUCGGUGUAAAGAUUUGCUUCCUUAGCUCCACGUCCUAAAGAAAUACAUGUCAUGGGGAGCAUUUCGGUUAUUGAUCCAGUCAUUACAAGCUUAUAUUUUGAAGUCAUCGUAUCUUCAAAAAAUACCUGCCCCGGUAACCCCAGAUUUUGCAUCAAUUAUUAUAUUGCUCAGCUUGAUCAGUUUUGCCUGCAAGGUAAAAUAAAAUAUGGUUAGAACCUCUGAUCCUGUUCUGAAUCCCAUGUUGAGACAAGGUAUGUCCAUAACCUAGAUACUAAGAAGACUACUUCCUCCGUUCCAAAUUAUAAGAUGUUCUAACUUUUUUCUGAAUGUAUAUUUGUGUGUUUGCUCACUCAUUUCAAUCCAUAUGUAGUCCAUAUUGAAAUAUCCAAAACAUUUUACAAUUUGGAAUGGAGGUAAUAUUAAACUGAUGACAUUUUUAAAUUUACAUAAAGGAGCGUGCCUUAGAGGCAGAAUAUUUUGACAAAUCUACUUCCUUUGCUACAGAAAAUGGAGAUUCUUUGUACAUUUGUAAAUAUAUCACACGAGUGGGGGCUAUUGAGUCUAAACUUGUGUUGCUUUGAUCAAAGAAUGGGAGGACUAAGAACUUAUAUUGAUUCUAACCUUUAUUAGAGGAACAAGAGGGAGCUGAAUAGACGUGGGAUAACAUCCCGGGUUGGCAACAAGCCGUGCAUUUCUUAUUUCAUCUCGAAGAACCUCCGUCAAACCAUAAACAGCCUCUUCCUGAAUAUAAAGAUACACAGAACACAAAGGAAAUGAGUUCAUAACAAACACACAUAAUGACAGGAGAGGAGUAAAAAACAUCAUAGGCUACAAAGGAAUCUAACUGAAGCCCCAAAUGUAAUAUACAAAGAAAUCGAUGGAACAUGUCAAUAGGAAUCCAAGUUGGUAAUUAAAUGUCGAAACUGGAACUUCAGAACUUGGUAGCUUCAAAAUUUGUGUGACCAAUGGCUGGUAUAUUAAAAAUCUGUAGGGUACAGUAGUCAAGAAAACCUGAAGUUCUGGUGCCCUAUGAGCAUGGCCAUACCACUCAGCAUACUCAUUGAUGUCACGCAAUCGGAAAUCCUGCAAGCAUGGUAAGUCAGAAUGAUUGGAUGUUCAAUAGCAACCGAGGACCUAUGCAGAUAAAGCAUGAGUUUGUGUAGAGCAUACCGCAGAGAGAUCAACAAUCUUCAGUUGCUUGGGUAAACCUUUAAUAAUUUCCUGAUAAAAAACUUGCAAUCAGACAUUGCUCUAAGUGUGUCCAGUACAAAAUCUGAUCUCCCAAUUGACAGCAGAGCAUAUAACUGGAUUCCUUCAUAAGUUCAGCAAUUGAUAGAAAACAUCUCAGAAAAAGUAUGAUGAAGAUACCAACCUGUGUUGUUCCAUGCGGCAAGCAACAAAAAACAGCAUCAACAUCUGAAAAAUCUGCAUCUUUAAUUGCAACUAAAUUUGGCAGGUCCUGCAAUAUUAAAAGAGGAUCAACAUAUGGCAACACAAAUGCAUAUACAGAAAUGUGCUACUGCUGAAAGGUUCAGCUAAUUCUUGAUGCACAAGAAUGACGCAUCAAAUGUGGAGGAAGUGAAGAGAAGUUCUUACCUGUGUUAUCAAGUGAGGAAAUACAGAUCCAAACUGUUCACCGGCUUUCCUAUCUGCGGUCAUCACUGUGAUGCGGAACUGAGGGUGGUUUGCUAGAAGCCGCACAAUCUGUUGGCAAAAAUGUACCAUGCCACAUUAGUAACUGAACCGAAAAAGGAUCAAAAUAUCGGAAUACUAGCAACGGAAUGUUGCAUCGGAAAAGCAAAAAAAGAUAAGUGCAUAGGAGUAAAGGUGGAUUGGCUUGUUGGGUUUGCGACUAAACUAAUCCCACCCUGCCAGAUUUUUGGUAAUAAUGGCCAAGAAUGUGCCCCUUGUUUACAUGUUUGCCGGGUGAAACAAUCUACCACUAGACCUGGAUGAUAAGCAGUCAACACAAAUGGAAAAUGACAGGGAAAAAAGAACAACCUCAGCCCCAGUAUAACCGCUGGCUCCUAGCACUGCAAUGCGUACUUCCUCCCCUGAUUGAACUGCUGGUGUCUUGGGAGAGUACUGUUUUUGUGGUGAAGAAGCAAUGGAUGCCCUCACACAGACUGAAGAGCGUCCAACCUUUAAUGUAGACAUUUUUUUAGUAUGUGGAGUACGACAGUAAACAAAGAAAUCUUUAUUAGGAAAAUAAGAGGGAAUAAAACUCACCUUAGGAGUUGUUUUGAGCUUGACCACACCGCAUGGCUUGAAAGUAGAUCCAAGGACUCCAUUCUACACGUGAAAUAAGAAAUCACCUCAGCGCUUAAGUUAAAAAAUAAGCAAUUUCAUGACGAAACAGGAUGCAAUUGCUGGAACAAUGCAACAGUUGGGUCAAAGGACCACCCGUUAUGACUAAUUCACCCACUCUAAGGUACAGUUCAUGUUCCCAUUUAAGAGAUGUCAUCAUACCAUUCUCAGACACUUCAGUUAGCAAAUUCAAAAUUGCUUACCACUACCGCCUACCGAAGCAACCAUUUUUGCUAAAACGUUAGUCCGAUGUAAUUUCCAUGGAGUUCGGGCAUAUCAGCAUAUGUUUAUUAUACAGUACAGCUAAUCGGGUUCAACUACAGGUGAGAGCCAAUACAUGGCCCCAUUCAAUUCCCAAGCAAUCAGAGCUUGCACGGGAUAGAAAGUAAGGGGAAAAAAAGGAGCGGGCGUCACCUUGGGGGCCAAUCCGGCGCGCGCCGGAGCCGCACCACCGAGCGCCGUCGAUCCCAUGUCCGCUACGGGGUGCAGUCGGGCUCGCCGGCGUCGCGGAGGGCUGGCAAAUCGAGAUUGACGGGAGUCAGCUGAGAGCGAGAGUUACAGGAAGUGUGAGGAAGCUGUGGGAGCGUAUAAAUGCACCUCGUGGAGAAAGGGAAAGGGGGGCCGGUCGCUGUGGGUGCGCUGGGGACGGCGACGGCGGCGGCGGCUACGGGCUUGGUUGGUGGUCGCGGCGCCGUUCCUCGCGGUCGUGGAUUGGGUAGGUGGACCUGGGGGGUCUGGUGGGCCGGAGGGGGCGGGGCUGAGGGCACGUACCUUUCUACUAGCCUCGUGGGAACGGAACUGUUUGUUCCUGGAGUGACCUGUAUGGCAUUGUUUGGGCAGCACCGGGGCCGAGCCCAGCAGUGCGGGUGGGGGAAGCGGAGGUCGAGCGCCCUCCUCGCCCAGCUGCAGCAACGGGGGAGGGUUCCUAGCCGGGGGAGUCGGGUGACGAGCAAUCGCGGUGGGGGACGGCGCGUGGCGCGCCCGGCCGGAGGAGACGAGAGGCGGGGCUGGAGUGCGGCGGCGCGGCUAUGCUGGAAGCGUGCUGCGGCGUAUGUGUCACGCACGUAUGCCUGACUAAACCCAAAGUCCGGCUCCGCACACACACCUUGAACGUCCGGACGGACACUAAGAGCAACUUCAAUCGGGCGACCCAUUUCGUCCGCCCGCGUCUAUUUAGAUUGGUGUGGACAUAAAAGACGGCCCAACGCGCCGACCCAAACGGAUGCGCGUCUGCUUUUGUCCGUUUGCCGACCCAUUCUCGGCCCAUUUUUGAGCAGGAUUUGCGUCGGCGCGGACACAAAACGGAUGCGCGCGCGCCCUCUCUCCUCUCCGCGCGUGCACAACCUUCACCGCCGGCUUCGUGACCGACGCCGCCGGCCAUUUUUUCCGAUAAAAAAGAAUACAUAGAUAGUUCUUGCGUACACAGAUAAAAGAAAAGAUCAACUACUCGUCGCUUUUCGAUUCUGACUCGGUAAUGUCCUCCUCCGACGUCUGAAUAUAGGCGUCAUCAGCAUGCUCGUCCGCGAAGUCCUACCCCGAUGUUUCUCGCAGCCUCAGUCUUAUUUGAGCGGUCAGCUUUCGCGUACGCUUGCCCUCCCGAUAGGCGGCUCGCUCCGUCCUCCUCUGCUCAUAGAACUGACGUUCGUCGACGAUGUCCUGCGGGAAGCGUUCGCGCCACACCAGCAAGGCUUGCACGUCCUGCGGGGAUCCUCGUCGGUGAAAAGCCGCGGGAGAGGCGUCAGAUCCUGCGCCCGCUGGCUCGACACGUCGGGAAAAUUCAUUUCCCGUCUCGGCCGCCGGAGGCGGCACGCCGCCGCGUCGUACGUGCGGGCCGCCUGCUCAGCGGUGUCGAAGGUGCCGAGGAUGAGCCGUUUCUCGUCAAACAAGAUCUCAGCGGAGAAGGUGACGGAGGGGCGCUCGCGGACUCCGCGGAAAUCCGAAGCGUCAAGUAUGCGCAUCGACAUGGUGGCGCACAGGCGGCGAGGCUAGUGAGAGGGGGCAAGACGAGUGGGCGGCGGUGGCGGACUGACUGUGGAGGGAGCGCCACCUUUAUAACGAGCGCCGGCCGUGGCGCGCCAAAAUGCGCGCGCGAACAUUUCCCACGCUCUGGAGCGCCAAAGCCAGCGCGCUAGGUCAAACUUCCCCCGCGCGCGCCAACCUUUCCCGCGCGCUGGCAUGGCCGCUGGCAUGAUCUAAAACGCGCGCGGUCAUGAAAUGGGUCGGCGCGUUGGGCGCGCUGCCAACCCAAAUCUAAAAGAGGACGGACGACGGGCGGACGGCCGACCCAAACGGACAAAAAGCAGACAAAUGCGCCGUCCGUUUGGGUCGGCCCGUUGGAGUUGCUUUAACGCCGUCACAUGUCUCUGUCUUUCUGACAACACCACAACAGCCAUAAAAAAUUACAAUAAAAUGACUCACCUUCAUGCUCGAGCUUGACACGGCUUCAACGCUGACAUGCAAUUUUGCGGACCUUCAAGGUGGCUCGCUAAUAGAGGCGAAAUAUAUUAGCCGAAAUUAUUGCCGUUGAACAAUUAAACCGGGGCAACAUCCUGGACACGUCAUCGAACUCCAGAUUUGGCUCCCCCGCAAGACUAAAACGUCGGAGGAGGAAACCAGGCGUGCCUGCCACGAACCUAGCACAAGAUCCACCAUCUUUCAUAUGCCGCCAAUACAUACCACAAUCUGCAUCCGCUCCUGAACUACAUUCCAAGCUCCACGCUAGCGUUGGAGCAAACGUCGUCGCAACGAUGAAGCCCGAGGAAAUAGGUCCACCAUGAGAAUGCCGCCGUCAACAAAAUCCUGAAACUAUGUGAUCUGCAUCAACAACCUGGAGAGACGUGGAGAGGGGUGCUUUUAGAAGAUCUGGGUCGUUUCCGAAAAAUGUACUAGUAUGCUACAACCAACGGACUUCCAAUGUUGGAAAAACUGCACCUACGUAAAUGCACGGCUAUGGAAGCACUAGCAUGUACUCUCUCCAUUCCAUAACAUAAGAUCAUUUUGCAAGCUUACUCAUAAAUACUUUCUCAUUAAAAGUAUGAAUGAGGUGAUCACUUGUUGGUUUCAUUGAGCUGGUGCAGAGUGCGGUUCAAGGCUCCCCAACGACAUUAUUUUUGUCUCUAAUUUUUGUAAACCAAAUUGACCUAUGAGGUUUCGAUGGAUGAAGAAGAUUGAGAUGGAAUGAGGAGUGAACGCAGUUCAAACCCAGGGUCCAAUGGAGGACGUCAUCACCAUCAACUUCAUGUCUUCUUUGGUUCAUAUAUGAUAGAAAUAAAAAAAAGGCAGCCCGGCGCACAUAGCUUCUGUUUGCACAUGGUCCAACCACUUUGGGUUUAUAGUACACAGUUUUAUCAUAUAUUUUUGCAAGAGGCUAUUUUCAAUACUCAACCCAUGACCUCAUAGUCGCAGGGCAACAACUUUGCCGCUACGCCAAGGCUCCCCUUCAAGAUAGGAAUAUUAUACCUUCCUCAAAAAAAAAAAGAUAGGAAUAUUAUACGAAUAGAAAAUCAUAAGAAGUGAGAUGACAUGUAUCUCAAUUCCUAUAAAAAAAUGCCAUUUGAUCCAUAGAGUAGUAAUGUUAUUUUCCUUCAAAAUAUGAAAGACUGGUUCCUAUCUACGUAGGAAUAGAAAUCCAUUUCUACAAACAAAAGGGAUUCGAAGGAUUUUUUUUCCCUUUGAAAAUCAUAUCCUAUAGAAUUCCUAUAAAGGUUCUACAAACCUACAAAGCAAAGGAGACCUAAAGGAUUUUUCCUAUAGAAUCAUAUCUUGUAGAAUUCCUACAAAAUUCCUCCAAAUCAAAGGAGGCUUACUUUCCGGCAGCUCCAUUUUGUAUCAUUAAUUAUUGCGCGGUAAAAAGGAAAACCUCCACACUUGACAAAAGAAGAAGAUCCAUGUUCAUUGCACAUGAGGUUAUAGCUUGAGAACUUUACAUCGGACAGAUUCCGUACUUGAUACACGCAUAAAACAGCAUAAUGCAAAAAUCACCAUGGCUAUAAACAGUACAGAAAGCUUCCUAUGAGGUUUGAAAUCCAUUUCUACAAACAAAAGGGAUUCGAAGGAUUUUCUUUCCCUUUGAAAAUCAUAUCCUAUAGAAUUCCUAUAAAGGUUCUACAAACCUACAAAGCAAAGGAGACCUAAAGGAUUUUUCCUAUAGAAUCAUAUCUUGUAGAGUUCCUACAAAAUUCCUCCAAAUCAAAGGAGGCUUACUUUCCGGCAGCUCCAUUUUGUAUCAUUAAUUAUUGCGCGGUAAAAAGGAAAACCUCCACACUUGACAACAGAAGAAGAUCCAUGUUCAUUGCACAUGAGGUUAUAGCUUGAGAACUUUACAUCGGACAGAUUCCGUACUUGAUACACGCAUAAAACAGCAUAAUGCAAAAAUCACCAUGGCUAUAAACAGUACAGAAAGCUUCCUCAUCCCUCCACCUUUACUUCUGCAGAAGCGCAGAUAUGACUACUCUCUAAAUGCUAUGAUGACUUACGAAGAUAAUGAAUUAUUUCGCUUUUAUAGCAGCUUAUCACAGAACAAAACAUUUAUGGUGAAAAAUUGACCACGAUGGCAUGUUGUGUAGCUCACCAAUCAGAAGUUCGAAUCCCCCUAGUGUUUCCUUAAAGCAGCAACGCAUCAACAAACUAUCUUUCCUUGAAUGUGAAGUAAGGACAUCUUUCAAUGUGCCAAUGGGUUCAACAAUAAGCUUUCAGCAAGCUAAUAUUCUUCGAAGGGUAAAACUGUACCCAAACCAGAGUCUUCAUACAACAGGACAUUGCCAAUGUAAUAACCAGAAAUACAAAACUAAAUAAAUAAUAUACUUUAUGUCAUAGAUCACAAAAAGAUCAACUUCUAAACGCAAAACUGAAAAUUUCCACGGACAAAAAAAGUAUUAAAUGAGUACACUAUUAUUGAUAUUGUGCAUUGCGGACAAUGAGCACUACGACAGAUAGAACCAGAGGUCAGCUUUUGCGAUUCAAAAUAACCAAGAGUCAUAUCUCCUCUAUUUAUAUCUACGGGGAAUGGCAACAAUCAGCUUGGCAUUUCCUAUGAAAUAAAUAAUCUAAUAGAGAAAGAGUUAGGAUCUAUAGCAGAUUAGGUGGAGAGAGUGUCACAGAUACAAGUUAGGAAGCAUGACCAUUUUACAAAUCCUACAUCCUCUGUGCUAAACAGAUAAUGCAAGAACCAGCAACAAAAUCAUACUACCUGAGUACCUGUGAUUUUUUCCCUCACUUCUAAUGACAAUAUUAAAACUGUGUAUUAGCCUCGCUGCUGUUUUCUUCUUCCAGAUCCAUCACUUUUUGCUAUCAUCUGCCAUCUUCGUACACAAAUUCCAAGCAAAACAACACACAUUAUGUCAUCUGCUUAUUCAUUCAGUUUGAUUUUGCGAAAACUUCAGGUGAAAAAUUAGCCGCCUAUCUAAUUUGUAUCACAAUAACCUUUAUCCAAGAAGACCACACAAGUUCACAAGUCUUCCAACAUUAAUAAUCAUUUUGGCAACCUAUCGAGUAUUUUUUUCCCUGAUGAUCAUUGAUUACUCAAAAUAUAGAAAGAAUGACUGCCUCUGUUACCUAUUUGUUGGUAACUUGAGAUGAGCCUUCCAUAAGUUGCCAGAUUUCAUCAAACAAUUAUCUUGUUUGCUUCCUGAUGAGACCAGCUCUGAUCACCAUAUCAUGAUGGGGUCAUUAUAAUUGACCUCAACCUUAAGCUAGGAGCCUAGGGCUCGAUUUACUUAUCUUGCAGAUUCCAAUCGGUUCCAUGUUUGAUCAGCACAGAUGACAUUUUGCUGGCAGAAUGCACUGCAAUUCAAACAUACGCUUUCACAAUACGAACCACAUUGUUACCACCACAAAUAUCCCCAGAAUCAUGAGCAGCCCAAUUCAAAAUCGGUAGCAGUUGGUGUUCUGAACAGAG
rnacentral:lncRNA from 1 species